UAGACGGGUGAGUAAUACAUAGGUAACCUACCCUUAAGAUGGGGAUAACCUUCCGAAAGGAGGGCUAAUACCGAAUGAGACCACAGUGACACAUGUCACAGGGGUUAAAGAUGGCCUCUAUUUAUAAGCUAUUACUUAAGGAUGGGCUUAUGCACCAUUAGCCUGUUGGUAGGGUAACGGCCUACCAAAGCUAUGAUGGUUAACUGAUCUGAGAGGUUGAUCAGUCACACUGGAACUGAGACACGGUCCAGACUCCUACGGGAGGCAGCAGUAGGGAAUAUUGCGCAAUGGAGGAAACUCUGACGCAGCGACGCCGCGUGGGUGAUGAAGGCCUUCGGGUUGUAAAGCCCUGUCGGAAGGGAAGAAAAACAUUAUGGCUAAUAUCCAUAGUGCUUGACGGUACCUUUAAAGGAAGCACCGGCUAACUACGUGCCAGCAGCCGCGGUAAUACGUAGGGUGCUAGCGUUGUUCGGAAUCAUUGGGCGUAAAAGCGCGUGUAGGCUGUUUAUUAAGUCGGGUGUGAAAGCCCUCGGCUCAAACCGAGGAAGUGCAUCCGAAACUAAUAAACCUAGAAGACGGUAGAGGAAGGUGGAAUUCCAAGUGUAGAGGUGAAAUUCGUAGAUAUUUGGAGGAAUACCGGUGGCGAAGGCGGCCCUUCUGGGCCGUUCUUGACGCUGAGACGCGAAAGCGUGGGUAGCAAACAGGAUUAGAUACCCUGGUAGUCCACGCCGUAAACGAUGGGUACUAGGUGUUGUGGGAAUUGACCCCUACAGUGCCGUAGCUAACGCAAUAAGUACCCCGCCUGGGAAGUACGGCCGCAAGGUUAAAACUCAAAGGAAUUGACGGGGGCCCGCACAAGCGGUGGAGCAUGUGGUUUAAUUCGAUGCAACGCGAAGAACCUUACCUGGGUUUGACAUCCCUAGACAGCCGUAGAGAUACGGUUUCCCCUUCGGGGGCUAGGAGACAGGUGCUGCAUGGCUGUCGUCAGCUCGUAUCGUGAGAUGUCGGGUUAAGUCCCUUAACGAGCGCAACCCUUAUCCCUAGUUGCCAUCAUUCAGUUGGGCACUCUAUGGAGACUGCCGGUGUUAAACCGGAGGAAGGCGGGGAUGACGUCAAGUCCUCAUGGCCUUUAUAUCCAGGGUACACACGUGCUACAAUGGCCGGUACA
rnacentral:rRNA from 1 species